rnacentral:rRNA from 1 species
GAAAAUAGGUGUAAGCAGGGGGGGGAAAAGGUGGGGUGUAAGGGUUGUACGAGGUGAUUGGGCGGAAAGAGCUCGUGGGCGGUUAGGUAAGUGUGGGUUGAAGACUCCAGGCUUAACUUGGAGGCGACACCCGAGACUGGUCUGACUUGAGGUCGGUAGGGGAGUGGGGAAUUCCUGGUGUAGCGGUGAAAUGCGAAGAUAUCAGGAGGAACACCGGUGGCGAAGGCGCCACUCUGGGCCGAAACUGACGCUGAGGAGCGAAAGCGUGGGUAGCAAACAGGAUUAGAUACCCCAGUCGUC